AUUGAACGCUGGCGGCAUGCCUUACACAUGCAAGUCGAACGGUAACGCGGGGCAACCUGGCGACGAGUGGCGAACGGGUGAGUAAUGUAUCGGAACGUGCCCAGUUGUGGGGGAUAACUGCUCGAAAGAGCAGCUAAUACCGCAUACGACCUGAGGGUGAAAGCGGGGGAUCGCAAGACCUCGCGCAAUUGGAGCGGCCGAUAUCAGAUUAGGUAGUUGGUGGGGUAAAGGCUCACCGAGCCAACGAUCUGUAGCUGGUCUGAGAGGACGACCAGCCACACUGGGACUGAGACACGGCCCAGACUCCUAUGGGAGGCAGCAGUGGGGAAUUUUGGACAAUGGACGCAAGUCUGAUCCAGCCAUGCCGCGUGCGGGAAGAAGGCCUUCGGGUUGUAAACCGCUUUUGUCAGGGAAGAAACGCUCUGGGUUAAUACCUCGGGGUAAUGACGGUACCUGAAGAAUAAGCACCGGCUAACUACGUGCCAGCCGCCGCCGUAAGAC
rnacentral:rRNA from 1 species